CAACUAAUCAUUCUUUCUAUGCAACUGAUCUAAUAUAGUCAUUUCUUUUUACAAUUUUGUCUGGAUACUAAUAAGAUAGUUCUAUAUGCAGAAAUGCCAUGUGUAAUGUAUUGCCACAUUAUAAACAUCUCCGAUCGAAUCAACAAACAUAUCAUUUGAAGAAUGAUUGAAUCUGAUUGGUCUGUUAAGAUAUGCUACUGAUCUAGAUAUAGAAAAUGAUUAAAAUCUGAAAUUACUCCAUGCUACCGCUUAAGAAUUCCUACAGUCCCUAAUUUUAAAAAUAUUUUUGAUCAUUCUCUAGGUAUAGUUUAUAAACGUGUCACUCUUCAGUUAAGCUAGGUAUAACCUAUGCAUUUUUUUGCAGAAUAUGUUGUUGAUCUAGAUAAAAAUAAAACUUAAAUUUCUAAAAUAUUUAUCUCCACAUAAUAUUGCCACUAAAGGACAUGUGCAAUUCCGAGAGGCCAAAAUUCUGAUGUGUUAUAUCUUCAUCUCAGCUUUGGGUGCCCACUGGUGAACACAUCGUUGGCACACUAUGGAGCCAAAAUACUCCAUGGUAAGAUCCAUGACAAGGGUUAUAGCGACCUUAAAUUUUCAUGAAAUUUGCAUACCACUAUAAAAACAAAUUAAUGAAUCUGAGUCAUGAAUGUCUUAGUAAGCCAAUGUGAAUGUCAAAGGCAUAGACCUUACAUUUUAUAUAUAAUGGAGUAUUUUUAUUUUAAAUAUUAGUGUUAAAGAGUUCAUUAAUGUGGUUUCUGAACUUCAUGAAUACAUUUGAAUUGGUUUUUUUUAGGUAAGCCAUGGAAAAUUACAUUUUUUCUCCAAAUCAGGAAAAUACAAAAUUGUAACUAUACAUCACUGAUCUUGCUGAUUUCAUAUAAAAUUGUAUGUGUAAGUUAUAAAUUUCAUGUUCUUGAAAUAUUUUUCUGCCAUGUUUGCAUUAAACACUCAUGAUCAGCAGAGUAAAAAAAAGAGAAAAACAAGCAUGGCAAAAAGAAAAUUAAGACUAUGUUGAUGUACUAUCUUUUGUAUGCAUGUAAGUUUUCACGUGAAUUAUAUUGACAUGGGUGUAAGUAGAAUAAAAUGGCCGUGGCAACGCACGGGCAUUCAACUAAUUUGAGUAAGAUACCAAUUUUGUAUUUUACAAGUCAUAAUGCUUAUGUGGCCAUGAGAGGAGGAACACCCCAUCUCAUAGUACCACAAGCAACAUCCAUCUCACAUAGAAUAGCCAAUUUGACCGUAGAACUAAACCACACAAGAGGAACUGUGGAAUUUUCAGCAUGGGAGACACUGGUGGAAGAUAUGAUGGUUAUACCUUGAAAAGUCGACAAUUGUCAAUCUACUACUACUUGAGAUAAUGGCAGAAUUUACUCCAGAGCAACAACAUGCUUCUUCCAGUUUGUGACCGGUGCUCCUCGGCUUCCACUUGGUGGCCUGUCUGCCUUAAAUCCUAAGCUGAUUAUCAUUAGGAAGGUAGGCCUGUUGUAGUGAUGCAGAAUCAUGUCAUUCCCGUGAUCUUGUUAUUUGACCUUUGCAUUUUUUUUUGUCAUUCCCGUGAUCAUGUCCGGAACAUUAUUGCAGGAUGUUGUGUACAAAAAUUGCUUUAUUCACAGAAUUGUGAUCGUUGCAAGUGUUUUGGUUUGACACAUUUUCCAGACUGGUUUUACAGUUUUUUCCUUAGAAGUUCUUUUAAUCAAAGGUCUUCUCCAUACUUUCUGGCAUGCAUGCUUUCUGGACCUAUAUAUUUUGAAGAGGCAUGUCUCUGUUCCAAAUGACUGGUAGCUAAUUAACCUUAUUUAUCCUUCAUGGGUAAAACGAAUUGCCUUCUGCCUUGGCUGAUUUUCUGCCAUGUCACAUAAAUAGCUUGGAUUCACAUGACCUUGCCCAUAUCUUUUUCAUAUUUUUUAUAUUUGGAUAAUUUGUUUCUUUACAACAGGAUAUGUAUGUAUGUAUCUUAUUUGCCACAUUGCUGGAGCAUUGCUUUUUUAGGUUGAGUUUUUUUUGAGGGAUUUUUAGGUUGAGUUUAAAGACUACGAAAGAUGGCACUUUUGUUUGCUUGGUUUCUCAUGCUGCCUUUUUUUUUCUGGAACGUGCGACCUCGUAUAUUAGAAGAAAAAACCGUCGAGAGAAUGGUUGGAGUGCAACAGGCCUAGCAGAGCUACGAAAUAGAAACAAAAAGGAAAGAAAAUAAUUGUACAUUUGUUUACUUGGUUUGUUUGCUCCAAAAUCAUGUCCGCACAAUAGCUUAGUCAUCCUUUCCUAUCUUAAUUUUUUUUUUCCAUUAUUUCCAGAUGAGGUUCAGUUCCAAAAAAUGAUAGCACAUGAUGAGGGUGUAUGUUUUGCUGACAAAUCCUUGUUACUCCCGCGGUAAUAUUUUUGUCCUUGGCUUUAGCUAGUGUUAAUGCAAUUGUAAAGAGUGAUCUUGCUAUGGACUGCGAUUUCUGGGAGCAUCAGCUCUUUGCUCUGCUCUUCAGUUUGCUUCAGAAUGCAUCUGCAUACACAGUGGCUUAGAUAACCCUUUCCACUUCGUAAUGAACUGUAGAGUAGGGAAGAUAUUGAAUGCAGAAUGUUUGGUUUCUUUGAUUCCGUACACAAGUUUGAUCAUAAGUCGCUACGACACAAGAAGAUAUCGAAUGGAGAAUGUGUGGUUUCUUUGAUUCCGUACAUGAGCUUCCCCAGUCCACGAGAAAAGGGUGAGACACUGUGACGCAGUGCAUGGACAAUGUAUGGCGGAUAUGGUUAAGAAAAGGAGGCCACUCUCAUGAGCAAGAAGGAUGACCAACUUGGAUGCAACAUGGUUUUUUUGAUGAAUUAUUAUGUCGCUAUUUAGGAAGUUGGUUCAGUGCUGUGGUGCAUGUUUUCUUGUACCGUUGUUGGCUUUUGUCAGUAAGAUUGGUAGUUUCCCAAUGUUGUUGUCUGCAAGUGGGUUAAUGGAUUAUAUCAUAUAAUGAAGCCCCAGUUUUUUUGUUGCAGCA